rnacentral:lncRNA from 1 species
UCAAACUUCUGACUGGAUGAAAAUGUAGAAACACAUUGUAUUGAAUUUUCUUCAUAACAUCCACUACUUUCCUCCUGCACCCUUUGAGCCAAUGACUUGGCUGCAAUCUUGCGAGGUUGGGUGCACACAAUUGACCCAUCAGCCCCAAUGCCAGAAUCAGCUAGAAACUGCACAAUUUGAGUACUCUUCCCAGAACCAGUCUCUCCGAUCAACACAGUUAUCUGCACAAACUCUACUCAUAAGAACAACCACAAAAAUUAAGAAAAGCAACAUAACUAAUAGUAUGCAUUGGCACUUAAUAAGAGUUUGGUAUAAAACAUCAAAAUGAUACAAUUGUCACUCCUAUGAUUCUAUGAACCUAACAAUAACAACAAAACAAAACAAAAAAAAGUUAUAACCAUGAAAUAGAAACUAUAAACUUAGAAAUAAUCAAUUGAUCUUUUUGUUCAUAUGCUUCACAAGCUGACCCAUCUGAAACCUCCAAUACACAAAAUACAUCAUGCCAAAUCCAAUCAUCACAUAAAGCCAAACAUUCUCUCCCUCACUCUCCUUUGGUGACAUAAUCUCCUCAAUUCUAAAACCCUCCCUCUCUAAAUUCCCCAAAAGACCCUCCAAAAAAUACCCAUACAACACAUACAUCUUAUCCCUCCCUCUCGAAACAACCGAAGUAGGGUACCCUUCACUCUCAAGGUCAAUUUUGUCAUAAACCACACCCUCCCCCCAUCCAUUAUUACUCUUCAGAAGCCACAACUUAUUCGCUUGCGGUGAAACCACCAAUACGACACCGUCACUUCUAAAAACGACGCCAGCAGGACGCGUGAGAUCCUCGUUGAGAAGUACCUGCCUGGCUGUACCGUCGUCCGCAUCAACCUUGAAAACCUUACCUGUAUUGGAUUGCACCACCAAGAGAUAAUCCCCGCUGCUGACGUAAGCAAUACAGUUGAGCCCGAUGUAACUAUACGGUGUGUCGCGGUCCACUGGAUGUUCGGUGAACCUCGGCGAUUUUGAGAAGAUUGAAGCUUCUCCUUUCACGUUGACUUUCUAGAUGUAGUUGCCGAUGGAGUUCGUGACGUAAGCGUUGCCGUUGUAAUCAACAGCGACGUNAACAGUGAUCUGUCAUGAAUGAUAUCCUGGAAUCAAACUUCUGACUGGAUGAAAAUGUAGAAACACAUUGUAUUGAAUUUUCUUCAUAACAUCCACUACUUUCCUCCUGCACCCUUUGAGCCAAUGACUUGGCUGCAAUCUUGCGAGGUUGGGUGCACACAAUUGACCCAUCAGCCCCAAUGCCAGAAUCAGCUAGAAACUGCACAAUUUGAGUACUCUUCCCAGAACCAGUCUCUCCGAUCAACACAGUUAUCUGCACAAACUCUACUCAUAAGAACAACCACAAAAAUUAAGAAAAGCAACAUAACUAAUAGUAUGCAUUGGCAAAAAAUAUAUUUUUUUUGUUGCACAACCAACAAAUACAAAAGCUUAUAUCUCUUCCCAUGAUCAGAUGAACGAAUUACAACAAAAAAAUAACAUUUUUUCAAGCACGUACAAG